rnacentral:rRNA from 1 species
AGCAUAUCAAUAAGCGGAGGAAAAGAAACCAACAGGGAUUGCCUCAGUAACGGCGAGUGAAGCGGCAACAGCUCAGAUUUGAAAUCUGGCCCCAUCCCGGGGUCCGAAUUGUAGUCUGUAGAGGAUGCUUCGGGGAUGGACCGGGUCUAAGUUCCUUGGAACAGGACGUCAGAGAGGGUGAGAGUCCCGUCUGUGGCCUGGAUCCCUUCCCCGGGUGAAGCUCCCUCGACGAGUCGAGUUGUUUGGGAAUGCAGCUCAAAUUGGGUGGUAAAUCUCAUCUAAAGCUAAAUACCUACCAGAGACCGAUAGCGCACAAGUAGAGUGAUCGAAAGAUGAAAAGCACUUUGAAAAGAGAGUUAAACAGCACGUGAAAUUGUUGAAAGGGAAGCGCUCGCGAUCAGACUUGCCCGUGGCCCCUCAGUCGGCGUGGACUCCCCGCCGAUGCACUGGGCUGUGGGCAGGCCAGCAUCGGUUCAGGUGGUGGGAGAAGGGCCCCGGGAAUGUGGCACCCUUCGGGGUGCGUUAUAGUCCGGGGCUUGACGCCGCCGCCCGGACCGAGGCCCGCGCUCCGGCAAGGAUGCUGGCGUAAUGGUCGCCAGCGACCCGUCUUGAAACACGGACCAAGGAGUCUAACAUCCACGCGAGUGUUUGGGCGUCAAACCCCGACGCGCAAUGAAAGUGAACGGAGGUGGGAACCCGCAGGGGCGCACCAUCGACCGAUCCUGAUGUCUUCGGAUGGAUUUGAGUACGAGCGUGGCUGUUGGGACCCGAAAGAUGGUGAACUAUGCCUGAAUAGGGUGAAGCCAGAGGAAACUCUGGUGGAGGCUCGCAGCGGUUCUGACGUGCAAAUCGAUCGUCAAAUUUGGGUAUAGGGGCGAAAGACUAAUCGAACCAUUGAGUUUUUUUCUCGCUACUAGGUGGUUAAGAGGCGGUCGAAAGUAACGCCUAGUCCCAAUUAUGUGGGGGCAACGCGGCCAAUUUGCGGGGACACCCUUAGAGCCCAAGUAACCGCUGCCCGACCGAAAGGUAGGCCGGCACCGAGGUAAUGACCCUGGGUUUGGUAAGAUCACUUGGGAUUGGGCGAUCCGCAGCGUAGUCCUAAGGGUCAUGGUAGCCCAUGGAAAGCGUUCACAGACUAAAUGGCUGUGGGUGGGUGGCAUGCUAUAUGCACCCGCUUAAGAUAUAGUCGGACCACCGGGAGAGCCGGUUGGGAGGAUACCUCUGGCCGUGGGCUUCACGUCCCAGCUUCUGGCUGGAGGGCUUCCCUGGGGCAGNNNNNNNNNNNNNNNNNNNGAAGUUUCCCUCAGGAUAGCAGUAACGCGUGUCAGUUUUAUGAGGUAAAGCGAAUGAUUAGAGGCCUUGGGGUUGAAACAACCUUAACCUAUUCUCAAACUUUGAAUAUGUAAGAAGUCCUUGUUGCUUAGUUGAACGUGGACAUUCGAAUGUACCGUUACUAGUGGGCCAUUUUUGGUAAGCAGAACUGGCGAUGCGGGAUGAACCGAACGCGGGGUUAAGGUGCCGGAAUGCACGCUCAUCAGACACCACAAAAGGUGUUGGUUCAUCUAGACAGCAGGACGGUGGCCAUGGAAGUCGGAACCCGCUAAGGAGUGUGUAACAACCCACCUGCCGAAUGAACUAGCCCUGAAAAUGGAUGGCGCUCAAGCGUGCUACCCAUACCCCGCCGCCAGGGUAGGAACGAUGCCCUGGCGAGUAGGCAGGCGUGGGGGUCCGUGACGAAGCCUUGGGAGCGAUCCCGGGUCGAACGGCCCCUAGUGCAGAUCU